rnacentral:tRNA from 2 species
UCUAACCCCUUCCCCUACUA